GAGGACAUUGUCAGGUGGG
rnacentral:sRNA from 1 species